rnacentral:rRNA from 1 species
ACGGGAGGCAGCAGUGGGGAAUAUUGGACAAUGGGCGCAAGCCUGAUCCAGCGACGCCGCGUGAGCGAUGAAGUAUUUCGGUAUGUAAAGCUCUAUCAGCAGGGAAGAUAAUGACGGUACCUGACUAAGAAGCACCGGCUAAAUACGUGCCAGCAGCCGCGGUAAUACGUAUGGUGCAAGCGUUAUCCGGAUUUACUGGGUGUAAAGGGAGCGUAGGCGGUCUUACAAGUCUGAUGUGAAAGCCCGGGGCUCAACUCCGGUACUGCAUUGGAAACUGUAGGACUAGAGUGUCGGAGGGGUAAGUGGAAUUCCUAGUGUAGCGGUGAAAUGCGUAGAUAUUAGGAGGAACACCAGUGGCGAAGGCGGCUUACUGGACUGUAACUGACGUUGGGGCUCGAAAGCGUGGGUAGCAAACAGGAUUAGAUACCCUGGUA